rnacentral:rRNA from 1 species
UACGUAGGUGGCAAGCGUUGUCCGGAUUUAUUGGGUUUAAAGGGUGCGUAGGCGGCUUUGUAAGUCAGUGGUGAAAUAUGGCAGCUCAACUGUCAAGGUGCCAUUGAUACUGCAGAGCUUGAGUACAGAUGAGGUAGGCGGAAUUGACGGUGUAGCGGUGAAAUGCUUAGAUAUCGUCAAGAACACCUAUAGCGAAGGCAGCUUGCUAGGCUGUAACUGACGCUGAGGCACAAAAGUGUGGGGAUCAAACAGG